UUUCCGUAGGUGAACCUGCGGAAGGAUCAUUAUUGAAUAAACCUGAUGUGGUUGUAGCUGGCCCUUUCGGGAGCAUGUGCACACCCGUCGUCUUUAUCUUUCCACCUGUGCACCUUUUGUAGACCUGGAUGUAACACUUUCCGAGGCAACUCGGUCGGGAGGAAUGCUGUCAGCUUUCCUUGAGUGUCCAGGCCUAUGUUUUCAUAUACCCCAAAGAAUGUAACAGAAUGUAUUAUUGGGCCUUGUGCCUAUAAACUAUAUACAACUUUCAGCAACGGAUCUCUUGGCUCUC
rnacentral:misc_RNA from 1 species